rnacentral:rRNA from 1 species
AAAAGCUCGUAGUUGGAUCUCAGUUCCAGACGGGCGGUCCGCCUAACGGUGGUUACUGCCCGGCCUGAACAGCCGGCCGGUUUCCCUAGAUGAUCUUCACCGGUUGUCCUGGGUGACCGGCACGUUUACUUUGAAAAAAUUAGAGUGCUCAAAGCAGGCGCGUAGCCUGGAUAAUGGUGCAUGGAAUAAUGGAAUAGGACUUCGUUUCUAUUUUGUUGGUUUUCGGAACACGAGGUAAUGAUUAAGAGGGACAGACGGGGGCAUUCGUAUUGCGACGCUAGAGGUGAAAUUCUUGGACCGUCGCAAGACGAACUACUGCGAAAGCAUUUGCCAAGAAUGUUUUCAUUAAUCAAGAACGAAAGUUAGAGGUUCGAAGGCGAUCAGAUACCGCCCUAGUUCUAACCAUAAACGAUGCCAACCAGCGAUCCGCCUGAGUUCCUCAAAUGACUCGGCGGGCAGCUUCUGGGAAACCAAAGUGUAUGGGUUCCGGGGGAAGUAUGGUUGCAAAGCUGAAACUUAAAGGAAUUGACGGAAGGGCACCACCAGGCGUGGAGCUUGCGGUUUAAUUUGACUCAACACGGGGAAACUCACCCGGCCCGGACACUGGAAGGAUUGACAGAUUAAGAGCUCUUUCUUGAUUCAGCGGGUGGUGGUGCAUGGCC